rnacentral:tRNA from 1 species
CCACAUAUGGCCCAAUGGAAGGGAACCGGGAGUUGAAACCGGAAAGGUUGGUUCAAAUCCAACUAUGUGGG